CUUGACAUCCAGAGAACUUGGCAGAGAUGCCCUGGGUGCCUUCGGGACCUCUGAGACAGGUGCUGCAUGGCUGUCGUCAGCUCGUGUUGUGAAAUGUUGGGUUAACGUCCGCAACGAGCGCAACCCCUAUCCUUUGUUGCCAGCGAUUCGGUCGGGAACUCAAAGGAGACUGCCGGUGAUAAACCGGAGGAAGGUGGGGAUGACGUCAAGUCAUCAUGGCCCUUACGAGUAGGGCUACACACGUGCUACAAUGGCGCAUACAAAGAGAAGCGACCUCGCGAGAGCAAGCGGACCUCAUAAAGUGCGUCGUAGUCCGGAUCGGAGUCUGCAACUCGACUCCGUGAAGUCGGAAUCGCUAGUAAUCGUAGAUCAGAAUGCUACGGUGAAUACGUUCCCGGGCCUUGUACACACCGCCCGUCACACCAUGGGAGUGGGUUGCAAAAGAAGUAGAUAGCUUAACCUUCGGGAGGGCGUUUACCACUUUGUGAUUCAUGACUGGGGUGAAGUCGUAACAAGGUAGGCGUAGACGU
rnacentral:rRNA from 1 species